UCUAUGUUCUCAUUUUUUUUUUUUUUUAACUUUUAAAUUUUUAACUUUUUUCAAACACUGUUUUUGUAUUGUAUCAUUCUUCACAUUUCUCCCAUUAUUUUCUGUAUAUGAGUGUGCAUGUGUGAGUUGUGUAUGCUCCCACCGUGCAGAUAGGUUUGAAAAAUCAAUCUAUCAACCUACCUACCUACCUACCUAUCUACCUACCUAUCUAUCUACCUAUCUACUUAUCUACUUACCUUCUAUCUAUCCACCUACCUAUCUACCUGUCUAUCUACCUACCUAUCUACUUAUCUUCUUACCUAUCUAUCUACCUACCUACCUAGCUAUCUACCCACCUAUCUACUUAUCUUCUUACCUAUCUAUCUACCUACCUACCUAUCUACCUACCCUCUACCUACCUACCUACCUACCUAUUUAUCUAUCUACCUAACUACCUACCUAUCUACCUCCCUAUCUACCUAUCUACCUACCUAUCUCUUAUCUACCUAUCUACUUAUCUACUUACCUAUCUACCUACCUACCUACCUAUCUACCUACCUUCCUAUUUAUCUAUCUACCUACCUAUCUAUCUACCUACCUACCUACCUACCUACCUAUUUAUCUUCAUCUGACUUACACAUCAGUGGCUCCCUCCUGCAUGCCUUCAUUAUUUAGCCUAGCUUAGACUUCCGUGGGUACAAUUAUGCGAGGGUUUGAGUAGUUUUGAUUUUGUUUGCUGAUUCAUUCUUAUCUAGGUUCGGCCCUUCCUAGCUCCCAUUCUUCACUCUCUGCUACCAAUAACAGCCAAAAUCUCUUAUUUCCUCCUCCUCUCUUGUUUUCAUUACUUUAGAAAACUCAUUCAUUCUUCUUUAUAACUGACACGUGUUCUCUAUCUCCUGUCUCUCAUCACCUUUUCAAACACUUCAGUGUUUUCUUGCCUUCCUACCCUAUUUCCUCUUACU
rnacentral:lncRNA from 1 species